rnacentral:rRNA from 1 species
AGAGUUUGAUCCUGGCUCAGGAUGAACGCUAGCGGCAGGCUUAAUACAUGCAAGUCGAGGGGCAGCAUGAGUGUAGCAAUACAUUUGAUGGCGACCGGCAAACGGGUGCGGAACACGUACACAACCUUCCUAUAAGUGGGGAAUAGCCCAGAGAAAUUUGGAUUAAUACCCCGUAACAUAAUGAUGUGGCAUCACAUUAUUAUUAUAGCUACGGCGCUUAUUGAUGGGUGUGCGGCUGAUUAGAUAGUUGGCGGGGUAACGGCCCACCAAGUCUACGAUCAGUAGCUGAUGUGAGAGCAUGAUCAGCCACACGGGCACUGAGACACGGGCCCGACUCCUACGGGAGGCAGCAGUAAGGAAUAUUGGUCAAUGGACGCAAGUCUGAACCAGCCAUGCCGCGUGAAGGAUUAAGGUCCUCUGGAUUGUAAACUUCUUUUAUCUGGGACGAAAAAAGGCUAUUCUUAGUCACUUGACGGUACCAGAUGAAUAAGCACCGGCUAACUCCGUGCCAGCAGCCGCGGUAAUACGGAGGGUGCAAGCGUUAUCCGGAUUCACUGGGUUUAAAGGGUGCGUAGGCGGGCAGGUAAGUCAGUGGUGAAAUCCUGGAGCUUAACUCCAGAACUGCCAUUGAUACUAUCUGUCUUGAAUAUUGUGGAGGUAAGCGGAAUAUGUCAUGUAGCGGUGAAAUGCUUAGAUAUCAGGAGGAACACCGGUGGCGAAAGCGCUCAUCUGGCCCGAUACUGACGCUGAGGCGCGAAAGCUAGGGGAGCAAACGGGAUUAGAUACCCUGGUAGUCC